rnacentral:rRNA from 1 species
AGCAGUGAGGAAUAUUGGUCAAUGGCCGAGAGGCUGAACCAGCCAAGUCGCGUGAAGGAAGAAGGAUCUAUGGUUUGUAAACUUCUUUUAUAGGGGAAUAAAGUGGAGGACGUGUCCUUUUUUGUAUGUACCCUAUGAAUAAGCAUCGGCUAACUCCGUGCCAGCAGCCGCGGUAAUACGGAGGAUGCGAGCGUUAUCCGGAUUUAUUGGGUUUAAAGGGUGCGUAGGUGGUGAUUUAAGUCAGCGGUGAAAGUUUGUGGCUCAACCAUAAAAUUGCCGUUGAAACUGGGUUACUUGAGUGUGUUUGAGGUAGGCGGAAUGCGUGGUGUAGCGGUGAAAUGCAUAGAUAUCACGCAGAACUCCGAUUGCGAAGGCAGCUUACUAAACCAUAACUGACACUGAAGCACGAAAGCGUGGGGAUCAAACAGGAUUAGAUACCCUGGUAGUCCACGCAGUAAACGAUGAUUACUAGGAGUUUGCGAUACAAUGUAAGCUCUACAGCGAAAGCGUUAAGUAAUCCACCUGGGGAGUACGCCGGCAACGGUGAAACUCAAAGGAAUUGACGGGGGCCCGCACAAGCGGAGGAACAUGUGGUUUAAUUCGAUGAUACGCGAGGAACCUUACCCGGGCUUGAAUUGCAACUGAAUGAUGUGGAGACAUGUCAGCCGCAAGGCAGUUGUGAAGGUGCUGCAUGGUUGUCGUCAGCUCGUGCCGUGAGGUGUCGGCUUAAGUGCCAUAACGAGCGCAACCCUUAUCACUAGUUACUAACAGGUGAAGCUGAGGACUCUGGUGAGACUGCCAGCGUAAGCUGUGAGGAAGGUGGGGAUGACGUCAAAUCAGCACGGCCCUUACAUCCGGGGCGACACACGUGUUACAAUGGCAUGGACAAAGGGCAGCUACCUGGCGACAGGAUGCUAAUCUCCAAACCAUGUCUCAGUUCGGAUCGGAGUCUGCAACUCGACUCCGUGAAGCUGGAUUCGCUAGUAAUCGCGCAUCAGCCAUGGCGCGGUGAAUACGUUCCCGGGCCUUGUACACACCGCCCGUCAAGCCAUGGGAGCCGGGGGUACCUGAAGUCCGUAACCGCAAGGAUCGGCCUAGGGUAAAACUGGUGACUGGGGCUAAGUCGUAACAAGGUAGCCGUACCGGAAGGUGCGGCUG